rnacentral:rRNA from 1 species
UGAACGCUGGCGGCGUGGAUAAGGCAUGCAAGUCAAUGGGGCUCUUCGGAGCAACCGGCAAACGAUGUAGUAACAUGUAGGAACGUACCCCAUAGUCAGGAAUAGCCGGCCGAAAGGUCGGGUAAUACUUGAUAUCCCGAAAGGGGAAAGAUGUAUCGCUAUGGGAGCGGNCUGCAUCGUAUCAGCUUGUUGGUAAGGUAAUGGCUUACCAAGGCAAUGACGCGUAGGGGAGGUGAGAGCCUGACCCCCACCGAUGGGACUGAGACACGGCCCAUACUCCUACGGGAGGCUGCAGCCGAGAAUAUUCCGCAAUGGGCGAAAGCCUGACGGAGCGACGCCGCGUGCAGGAUGACGGUCUUCGGAUUGUAAACCGCUUUUAUGAGGGAAGAAGUAAUUGACAUUACCUCAUGAAUAAGAGGCUCCUAAUUCCGUGCCAGCAGGAGCGGUCAUACGGAAGCCUCGAGCGUUACCCGGAAUCACUGGGCGUAAAGAGUGUGUAGGUGGUGGUGUUAGUCUUCUGUUAAAGAUCGGGGCUCAACCUCGGGACUGCGGAAGAAACGGCAUUACUAGAGGGUGAGAGAGGUGUACGGAACUCAUGGUGUAGGGGUGAAAUCCGUUGAUAUCAUGAGGAACACCAAAGGCGAAGGCAGUACACUGGCUCAUUCCUGACACUGAGACACGAAAGCGUGGGUAGCGAACGGGAUUAGAUACCCCGGUAGUCCACGCCCUAAACGUUCCUCACUAGCCCUGGGAAGUAUCGACCCUUUCCGAGGCGAAGCUAACGCGUUAAGUGAGGCGCCUGGGUAGUACGAGCGCAAGCUUAAAACUCAAAGGAAUAGACGGGGACUCACACAAGCGGUGGAGCGUGUGGCUUAAUUCGUCGUUAACCGAAGAACCUCACCAAGGCUUGAAACCUACGGGAACAUGCGUAGAAAUAUGUAUGGCCUUCGGGCUCGUAGGCAGGUGAUGCAUGGCCGUCGUCAGUUCGUGGCUUGAGUUGUAUGGUUAAGUCCAGUAACGAACGAAACCCCUAUUGCCUGUUACAAGUGUCAGGCGAGACUGCCCUUUUUGGGAGGAAGGUGGGGAUGAUGCCAGGUCCGUAUUUCCCUCUGAUGCAUUGGGCUGCACACGCGCUACAAUGGGUGCUACAAAGAGCUGCCACGGAGUAAUCCGGCGCUAAUCUCUAAAAGCAUCCUCAGUUCGGAUUGUGGGCUGAAACUCGCCCACAUGAAGUCGGAAUCGCUAGUAAUCGCAGGUCAGCUAAACUGCGGUGAUACGUUCUCGAGUCUUGUACUCACCGCCAGUCAACACAAGGGAGCUGGGAGUACCCGACGUCCCGAUUUAUUCGGGCAUACGGU